rnacentral:tRNA from 1 species
GGCAGGACGGCCGAGUUGGUUAUGGCGCCAGGUUAGGGUUUGCCUUAAUACUUAAUCUCCUGGUUCGGGAAACCGAGCGUGGGUUCAAGUCCCAUGCCUGUCA